UAACAAUUAAUACGAGUUUUCAAUAUUUACUGCGCCAGCGAAAACGCAUGCUUCCUAGUUGCCUUUGUUGUUGUUGUACGCAAUACGAACGUUUACUCGGGUGUGGGGUGCCAUACUGGCUUGUUGUUGUUUUUGGCAGUGCUGGUGGUGUUGGCGUUCGGCCUGAACCCGUUUGUGUGAGUGUCCUUGCAGCGGCGCCAAUACAGCAAUCACAACAACUACAACAGCUAUAAAGGUGACAAUAACAACAAAAGCAGCGUUGAUUUUCGAAAAAGCAGUCGCUGCGGCAGCGUUGGUGUGAGCCAAGGAGCAAGUGUAACUCGGAAAUAUCUUCGAAUACGUGACUAACGUCCUGAGUGCUUGCUCCGGCGUCUCUUUGUCAGUCAUCCUGCUGCCUUCUGCCUAACAUUGCUGGUGUAGCCAUCCAAAGUGCGGCAUAUUUGCCAUUCAGUUUGUCUUUGUCGUUCGCUGCGGUCGUUACGUUACGUUGAAAACGUUGAAGGAUUCGCCUAAUAAAAGAAACCAAACACAUGUACUUUCGUGCGAGGAAUUCUUGCAAAAGUGUAAAUAAUAAAAUAAUUUAGAAAAUUCUAGCGAAAAUAACUUGGCAGUUUCACAAACAUAUCUCUAAAAUAAAUAAAUAUU